rnacentral:lncRNA from 10 species
CUCCCAUUUCCGGAAGCCUGGCGCAAGGUUGGUCUGCAGGUGGCCUCCAGGUGCAAAGUGGGAAGUGUGAGUCCUCAGUCUUGGGCUAUUCGGCCACGUGCCUGCCGGACAUGGGACGCUGGAGGGUCAGCAGCGUGGAGUCCUGGCCUUUUGCGUCCACGGGUGGGAAAUUGGCCAUUGCCACGGCGGGAACUGGGACUCAGGCUGCCCCCCGGCCGUUUCUCAUCCGUCCACCGGACUCGUGGGCGCUCGCACUGGCGCUGAUGUAGUUUCCUGACCUCUGACCCGUAUUGUCUCCAGAUUAAAGGUACGACAUUUGGAGGCCCCAGCGAGAAACGUCACCGGGAGAAACGUCACCGGGCGAGAGCCGGGCCCGCUGUGUGCUCCCCCGGAAGGACAGCCAGCUUGUAGGGGGGAGUGCCACCUGAAAAAAAAAUUUCCAGGUCCCCAAAGGGUGACCGUCUUCCGGAGGACAGCGGAUCGACUACCAUGUGGGUGCCCACAAAAAUUCCACCUCUGAGUCCUCAACUGCUGACCCCGGGGUCAGUAGACACGGGGUUUCACCAUGUUGGCCAGGCCGGUCUUGAACUUGUGACGUCAGGUGAUGCACCCGCCUUGGCCUCCCAAAGUGCUGGGAUUACAGGUCCAGAUUUUGAACAAAUCUCGCUAGAGAUUGAACAGAGCUGCGCCUGGAUCCCGCCACAGUGAGGAGACCUGAAGACCAGAGAAAACACAGCAAACGGAGUCUUGCUCUGUUGUCCAGGCUGGAGUGUAGUGUGGCGAUCUCGGCUCCCUGCAAGAAUCUGCCUCCCAGAUUCACGCCAUUUUCCCACCUCAGCCCCUGGAGUAGCUGGAAGUACAGGCUCCCGCCACCACGCCUGGCUAAUUUUGUUUUUGUAUUUUUAGUAGAGACGGGGUUUCACUGUGUUAGGUAGGAUGGUCUCGAUCUCCUGACCUCAUGAUCCAUCCGCCUUGGCCUCUCAAAGUGCUGGGAUUACAGGCAUGAGCCACCGCACCUGGCUGUUUUUUCAUUUCUAUUAUGAUUUGUUCUGUGGAAUGUCAGUGACUUAGCGGUGUUUUUCACAUGUUUAUAAAGCUGAAUAGUUCUGUAUGUCAGCUCAGCACCCCUAGUGUCAGUCAUGCUACUCUCCUGCUGUGCAUAGAUGGGGGCCUGUCCACACCCAAAUCUCCUGGGUUCCCGCUGUCCGCACCUGAAGGUACCCACCAGAUGUGUCUGUCACUGCCCUCCAUCCACCUUUCUUGUGGUUCUCAUGUUUCUGCCUCCCUAGAGACCAUUUCUCUCUACAGCAGUAGUUUCCAAUAGAAAUACAAUGCCAGACACAUACGUCAUUUUAGAUUUUCUAGUAGUCACUUUAGAAAAGUGAAAAAGAGGCCAGCUGCAGUGGCUCACACCUGUAAUCCCAGCACUUUGGAAGGCUGAGGUGGGUGGAUCACGAGGUCAGGAGAUCGAGACCAUCCUGGCCAACAUGGUGAAACCCCCUCUCUACUAAAAAUACAAAAAAUUAGCUGGGCGUGGUGGCAGGCGCCUGUAGUCCCAGCUACUCGAGAGGCUGAGGCAGGAGAAUGGCGUGAACCCGGUAGGCAGAGCUUGCAGUGAGCCGAGAUAGCGCCACUGCACUCCAGCCUGGGCGACAGAGGGAGACUCCAUCUCAAAAAAAAAAAAAAGGUUACAAAGAAACAGGUGAAAUUAGUUUUAUUUCACCUAAAAUGUUAGCAUUAUCCAAAAUAUCACUUCAACAUCUUAUCAAAAUAAAAAUUAUUAA